GGGGUUGACUGGAUUUGACAGCGGGCAGAAAGGACAGGUAAGCAUGCAGUGCGUCGUAGAUUAGCACUAUAAUCACAGUCUUCAAAAGAUUAUCUGGCGAAAACAAUUACGCUCUCGCUGCUUGAUUGAAGUACAGUAGAUCGAAGCUUAAUCCCGGCACCAGGUGCUGGGACGUGACAUCACUCGGAAGCUGUUGCUCCGAAGCAUUCCGGCCAAGUGGUGCAGCCAAAUCGGGGAUAGUCGGCGCUGGCCUCGCAGCGUAGAUGAAGCUUUAGAGGAUAAGACAUCGGUUGAUGGCUUUGGUUCUGCCGGUGUACGAAAACCUAGUCAAAGAUAAGCAUGUAGAAAGCUUGUGUUUUCCUCGUUUGGACGAGGGUUCGAUUCCCUCCAGCUCCACA
rnacentral:tmRNA from 1 species